GAACUUAAGCAUAUCAAUAAGCGGAGGAAAAGAAACUAACAAGGAUUCCCCUAGUAACUGCGAGUGAAGCGGGAAGAGCUCAAAUUUAAAAUCUGGCGCGCCUCUGGCCGUCCGAGUUGUAGUCUGGAGAAGCGUUUUCCGUGUUGGACCGUGUAUAAGUCUCUUGGAACAGGGCGUCAUAGAGGGUGAGAAUCCCGUCUUUGACACGGACUACCAAUGCUUUGUGAUGCGCUCUCAAAGAGUCGAGUUGUUUGGGAAUGCAGCUCAAAAUGGGUGGUAAAUUCCAUCUAAAGCUAAAUAUAGGCGAGAGACCGAUAGCGAACAAGUACCGUGAGGGAAAGAUGAAAAGCACUUUGGAAAGAGAGUUAAACAGUACGUGAAAUUGCUGAAAGGGAAACGCUUGAAGUCAGUCAUGUCUGCCAGGACUCAGCCUUGCUUCUGCUUGGUGUACUUUCUGGUCGGAUGGGCCAACAUCAAUUUUGACCGUUGGAGAAAGGCUUUGGGAAUGUGGCACCUUCGGGUGUGUUAUAGCCCUUUGCUGUAUACGACGGUUGGGAUUGAGGACUGCAGCACGCCUUUAUGGCCGGGGUACACCCACGUACGUGCUUAGGAUGUUGGCAUAAUGGCUUUAAGCGACCCGUCUUGAAACACGGACCAAGGAGUCUAACAUGCCUGCGAGUGUUUGGGUGGAAAACCCAUGCGCGUAAUGAAAGUGAUAGCUGAGAUCCUCUCAUCAGGAGCACCAGCGCCUGGACUUGAUCUACGGAGACGGUUCUACGGUAGAGCAUGUAUGUUGGGACCCGAAA
rnacentral:rRNA from 1 species